rnacentral:lncRNA from 1 species
GUUAGGGGUUAGGGUUAGGGUUAGGAUUAGGGGUGAGAGUUAGGGUUACGGUACUGUAAAUAAUUUCACAUUAUUACUAAUAAUAAAUUAUUAUUUGUAUUACACUGUUACGUAAUGUAAACGCUAUUAAGACAUGUUUUUCUUCAAAGAAUGGCCUUGGUUUCUGUGGGCUGUGCCUCGUCAUGGAAGGGUAAUGCAUUCCUGCUAAAUCAUGGACAAAACGGGCUUCCAGGAGCUACAGGCCCCUGCAGCAGCAGCUUCUCCUCUACGUCCUUCACUGCCUCAAACUGUUGUUGACUUUGAAAGCUUCUUUCAGUCUAGUUUUAUCAACAGAGCUAGUAUUUCAUGAGGUUCUACUACAUACCAGGUUCCAGAAAGCUAAAUGCCUUUUGUUAUUAUUCACUAAAUACAAAUCACAACUCUCUCCUCAUUACUCACACAACAAAAUUUAGCUGAGGGAGAUUGAGUGACUUUCCCAGGGUCACAUAGCUACUAAGAGCAGAGUCGUGUUUAGAUUCAUGUGGGAAUAUUGAACACAGAAAUGAACCAGUGGAAACAUCCUAUGUUCCAAAAGCCUACUCAAGGCAUUUCUUCUUAUUUUAAGGAAAAUCUUUAUGCUAAUUUUAAACUCCAAAUACUUAUGAAUGGCAGAGAUCUACAGAUUUGAUUCUGAUGUAAGAAAUGAUGGUCACCAGCUGGUUACUGCUACCACCCCACAACCCCGAGCAUACUGGACGAAUGUCUAAGCCUUGUGGUUAGUGGGGACAAUGCUGGUGGAGUCUGAAGUUGUCAUGCAGUGACUCAUGCAAGCUUAGGCAGAUUUGGUAAUAUAUGACACAGAGAUGCAAAGAAAUGUUGUAGCUGACACACACAGGCUGGCUCUGGGAGAUGCAGAAGGAGCACGUCACCCAAAAUAGAGCCAGACAAGACAUCCUUAAGGAAGGAGCAAAAGGGCUGCAUCUUAAAGAAUGUAGAAAGGAUUUGUCAUGAGAGAUGGGGCAGGAAGUUCUUGAGAGGCAGAGGGAGAGCAUGAGAAUGUUAGGAAGGGAGGAGAGAUUCUCACACAUCUGGGAAGCUGACAAUCCAUCAGCAUGGCCAGAAGGAAAAUAAGGAGGAGGAGCAGAAAUAGAUGAGGCUGGAUAUAGAAGCAGGGCUGAAGCUGUGUCGAUUGUGGUAAAGAGUUGUGAUUCUAUCCAGAACGCAAUAGGUAGCAUUCUAAACAGAGAUCUUUUCAAACAAGAGUCAGCAAGUAUUUUCUGCAGGAGGCUAAAUGUUAAAUAUUUUAAGUUUUCCAAGCCAUAUGGUCUCUCUCUCAAUGACUCAGCUCUUCCAUUAUACCAUGAAAGUAGCCAGAGACAUUAUGUAACACAUGUAUUGGCUGUGUCCUAUUACAACUUUACUUACAAACGCAGACUGUGUCAGACAUGGUCCAUGCAUGGUAGUUUGCCACACCCUGUUUUAGAAAGCUCAGGUUUAUGAUGUGAUGGAGAAUGCCUACAAGAGCUCUUGUUUUAAAUGGUAGAGUGAACACUGGAAUUCUAUCCUGCUUGACCCAAGCUCUUGAUAGCGAAAGGUAGAAAAGAUAGAUAGUAAAUAGAUAGAUAGAUGAUAGGCAGGUAGAUAGAUAGAUGAUAGAUAAAGAAAAUACAUAGCUGUUCCAGAAAACAGAAAUGGAUAAUUUCAUGAACCAAAAGCAGAG